ACUUAGUUUAAUUAAAAUAAUUGCUUGUCAAGUAAUUGUAGCCUUGGGCAGUA
rnacentral:tRNA from 1 species